GUAUGAGAUCCUAAAUAGUUUCUUUGCCCUGAUAAGUUUGCAUUAUGUUGGCAUUAUUGCAUAAAUGGGUACUAGAGUGAGGUUUGCAACAAUUUCCUUAAGAAGGUGUCUGUUAGAGAAUGCUGUUUCUUAAAUUAUAAUUGUUAUGACUUGCCUCCAUGUUGUACUGUUGGGUGGUGGUUACCAGUGUAAAUUUGAUUU
rnacentral:lncRNA from 1 species